AAAUCAGUAAGAGGCAGAAAUGCAAAAAAGUCCGAUUUUUCAUUUCCUGAGACCGGAAGUGGCCAUCAGCAAGCGUGGAGCCAAACAGAGUACGAUGCAUAGACUGUAUAUAAUUUUUUUCUCUGUUAGUUUUCACAGUCAAAAUGAGAGAUCAGGUGGCCGAUCUUAAAAUAAAUCAACACUGAAUUUUCUAUAAAGCCUUAAAGAUUUGCAAAGCCAGGGGGCGGGGCUACUUGAUUGACAGUCUUGUCUGGAAUAAUUGAUAGGUCCUAUGGAGGAGGCAGACUCUGCUCUCCUUGUUUGGCUUAAUUCUGAUAUAAUAACUGUUGGAUUAUUUAUCGGUGGAGCAGCAGAACCUUAUCCACAGACAGUUUUCCUGCCUGUUGGCUUGCGUUAACCAGUUUUCUUUCUGCGGCUGAUUCUACCAGCAGACACUGAAAGGACUCUGAUAGUUCAGUGUCUCAUGUUCACUGUAAGGAUCUUCUGAGUGAAGCCAACAGAAGGAAAACCUCAUCUGGUUGUGAAGAAGGAGAAUGAAUGGAGGACAUCCUCAGUGAACCACUUCCUGUUUAGCUUUCACUUACAGAAGGACAGAGCAACUGUUUCAGCAGUUUAUUAUUCUCUGUUCAGCAGACAGGUGCUCUGCUUUGGAGUGUGACGAUGUCUUUGGUGAUGUGGAGAGUGAAAUUUCUGUUUCACCCACAGCAUGCUUUAGGGCACCCGGGUCGGACUUGAUGUUUGAAAUACUGACCGACAGCUCAGAUUGAACUCCGUUUAGAUGGAUGUUAAAUUUUCACUCAGCUGCCAGGAGCUGGGUCUUAAAAAUAACCACCGUCUGGUUACAGACUGAAAGUAGCAGUUCCUCCUUAAGGUCAGAGAUUGCAGCAUCUGAGGGCCUCUUCAAAAGAAGACGUAGUUGAUGAAGGCGUUCUGGAACAGGAAGACCACGACCAAGCAGCCUUGAGAUUUUAGGCAGCGUCUCCCUCAGGUGGGUGUCAACGGUGUUCACGGUCAGGUCUGUGGUCAUCCCGUCAAAAAACGAAACAGAAAAAAAUCUAGAUUAUUAAUCAACAUGUAAUCAAAGCACUGUGUAUAACGCCAUAGUACAGGAUGUAGUUCAGAAAAUGUCAAAGUAUAGUAUGCUUUUCAAGAAUAACAUAGUAUGGCCUGUAGUUCAUAGUAUAGCAUGUCGGCAAAAAAAACACAUAAAUUAUUAUGUGGUUCAAAAAGCGCAAAAAGAUAGGAUGUAUGGAGGAAUAUUCCACCUGAAAUGUAGACCUGAGAAAUUGGUUUGGAAGAAUAUACCAUCCUAAACAUCCUUAAAUGUAGACCUAGAAAUGGUUUGGAAAAAAAUUCCACCUAAAAUCCUCCAAUGUAAACCGACAAGGUGAGUUUAAUGGUAUAUUCCACAUAAAAUGCAUUACUGUAGACCUUGGAGGUUGGUCUGAUGGUAUAUUCCACCCAACAUUCUUGAACAUAAACUUAAUAAGUUUGUUCAAAGGAAUGUUCCACCUAAAAUCCUUCAAUUUAGACCAAAAAAUCUUGGUGUAAAGGAGUUCACCUUGAAUGCUGCCGUCCGCUGUCUGAUAGUUUUUCUCAUUGUAGUCUUCAAUAAAGUCUUUUCCUCAUGUCAGGAUGUGGUGAGACUCUUUCUCAGUGGCUGCAGACGUCCCUCAUUGUGCAUCUCCAGAGAAGAAACAGAAAAACUGGUCACUGCUUCAGCAUCACAAACGCUCUCCAACAUUGAGAGUGUUUCAGGAAUUCAUUCAUUGUGUUGUGAACUUUGAAGGAGCAGAAACUUUACAGCUGCCAAAUAUAUGAGCUCCAAUUCUGGAUGUUUGAGGAAAUGAAGUUCACCAAAGGAACACUUGAUUUUUGCUGUUAACUCAUUGAAUUAUGGAAGAAAUCUAACGUAAAAACCUGUAAACUCUGACAGCUUUUGUUAAAGUUUGUCUAUAAUUUUAUCAUCAUGAUCUGGAACCAGGACUCUGCAGAAGUUCCUUCAAACAGAUACUUGUGUGUUUCUAUUUCAGGCCUCAGGUUUGAACAUGCAGCAGAUAAUUAGAAAGGAGUGAUUUUAAUAUUUAAAUCAGUCCAGUCAAUGUUUGGAGUAAAAAUGACUCAAAUUUGAUUUAGACAGAUUUGUGUCAAAUAAUAUUGUAGUCACACUUAAAUAUAUUAGUUCAGUGUAUUUACAUUUUCUAGAAUAUUUGAUUUCUUAAUCUCAAUACUGUAUAGUCUGACCUUAAAUAUAAUGAUGUAAAUUUAAAUAAUAUUGUAGUGCAGAGUCAAACUUUAAUCAGCUAAACUUACAUAAUAAAUAUCACUGCACAAUCCUAACCUGAACAUUCAUAUUGAGGUAAAUUUACAUAAAUCAUGAUAUUCUAGAGUCUCAACUGGAAUAUGUGUAACAAUCUUUUUGUAUUGUGCUGAUAAACAACAAUAACCCGACUUUCAGAUGAUAUUUAUUGUCUGUGAUUGUGAGACUAAAUUCCUCCACAUUCUGGAACUUUACCUGCAGCAGCUGUAGGAAUAAAUAAAAAUAGAAUCUGUUCACCCUGAAAGAUUUUGUUAGAGACGAUUAACUAA